rnacentral:rRNA from 1 species
CUGAACCCCGGCGACCCUCCUCGAAACUCCGUGCGAGCUUUGCUAGCGUGAACCAGUUUAAACUCGUAGCACAAUAGCUGACCGACACGUGGCCAAACUACCCUUCCUGAACACAAUACCCUCAGGAGACUGAGGCCAAUAAUGUAUACCGUACCACCACUGGAAUGAGUGGUGCGCCAAACGCUCCGGCCCCGAAGGAUGUGGCUGCGGCCGAUUAGGUAGACGGUGGGGUAACGGCCCACCGUGCCAAUAAUCGGUAUGGGUCAUGAGAGUGAGAACCCAGAGACGGAAUCUGAGACAAGAUUCCGGGCCCUACGGGGCGCAGCAGGCGCGAAACCUUUACACUGCACGACAGUGCGGAUAGGGGGAUCCCAAGUGCACAGGCAUAGCGCCUGUGCUUUUCGGUACCCUAAGGCGGUACCAGAAUAAGGUCUGGGCAAGACCGGUGCCAGCCGCCGCGGUAAUACCGGCAGCCCAAGUGAUGGCCGAUCUUAUUGGGCCUAAAGCGUCCGUAGCUGGCCGCGCAAGUCCAUCGGGAAAUCCACCUGCUCAACAGGUGGGCGCCCGGUAGAAACUGCGUGGCUUGGGACCGGAAGGCGCGACGGGUACGUCCGGGGUAGGAGUGAAAUCCCGUAAUCCUGGACGGACCGCCGAUGGCGAAAGCACGUCGCGAGAACGGAUCCGACAGUGAGGGACGAAAGCCAGGGUCUCGACACCGAAUUACAUACCCGGGUAGUCCUGGCCGUAAACAAUGUCUGCUAGGUGUGGCUCCCACUACGAGUGGGUGCUGUGCCGUAGGGAAACCGCUAAGCACACCGCCUGGGAAGUACGUCCGCAAGCAUGAGGCUUAAAACCUUCACGGGGUUUCCGAGGAGGAAUAGCCUGUUAUUCAUGAAUCCC